rnacentral:tRNA from 1 species
GGGGUUGUGGUUCAGCAGUAGAAUGCUCACCUAUUAUGUGUGAGGCCUUGGGUUCGAUCCUCAGCACCA